rnacentral:rRNA from 1 species
GAAGUUCAGGUAACACUGAAUGGAGGCCCGAACCCACGCACGUUGAAAAGUGCGGGGAUGAGGUGUGGGUAGCGGAGAAAUUCCAAUCGAACCUGGAGAUAGCUGGUUCUCCCCGAAAUAGCUUUAGGGCUAGCCUUAAGUGUAAGAGUCUUGGAGGUAGAGCACUGAUUGGACUAGGGGUCCUCAUCGGAUUACCGAAUUCAGUCAAACUCCGAAUGCCAAUGACUUAUCCUUAGGAGUCAGACUGCGAGUGAUAAGAUCCGUAGUCAAAAGGGAAACAGCCCAGACCGCCAGCUAAGGUCCCAAAGUGUGUAUUAAGUGGAAAAGGAUGUGGAGUUGCUUAGACAACUAGGAUGUUGGCUUAGAAGCAGCCACCAUUUAAAGAGUGCGUAAUAGCUCACUAGUCGAGUGACUCUGCGCCGAAAAUGUACCGGGGCUAAAUACACCACCGAAGCUGCGGAUUGAUACCAAUGGUAUCAGUGGUAGGGGAGCGUUCUAAGGACAGUGAAGUCAGACCGGAAGGACUGGUGGAGUGCUUAGAAGUGAGAAUGCCGGUAUGAGUAGCGAAAGACGGGUGAGAAUCCCGUCCACCGAAUGCCUAAGGUUUCCUGAGGAAGGCUCGUCCGCUCAGGGUUAGUCAGGACCUAAGCCGAGGCCGACAGGCGUAGGCGAUGGACAACAGGUUGAUAUUCCUGUACCACCUCUUUAUCGUUUGAGCAAUGGAGGGACGCAGAAGGAUAGAAGAAGCGUGCGAUUGGUUGUGCACGUCCAAGCAGUUAGGCUGAUAAGUAGGCAAAUCCGCUUAUCGUGAAGGCUGAGCUGUGAUGGGGAAGCUCCUUAUGGAGCGAAGUCUUUGAUUCCCCGCUGCCAAGAAAAGCUUCUAGCGAGAUAAAAGGUGCCUGUACCGCAAACCGACACAGGUAGGCGAGGAGAGAAUCCUAAGGUGUGCGAGAGAACUCUGGUUAAGGAACUCGGCAAAAUGACCCCGUAACUUCGGGAGAAGGGGUGCUUUCUUAACGGAAAGCCGCAGUGAAUAGGCCCAAGCGACUGUUUAGCAAAAACACAGCUCUCUGCGAAGCCGUAAGGCGAAGUAUAGGGGGUGACACCUGCCCGGUGCUGGAAGGUUAAGGAGAGGGGUUAGCGUAAGCGAAGCUCUGAACUGAAGCCCCAGUAAACGGCGGCCGUAACUAUAACGGUCCUAAGGUAGCGAAAUUCCUUGUCGGGUAAGUUCCGACCCGCACGAAAGGUGUAACGAUUUGGGCACUGUCUCAACCAGAGACUCGGUGAAAUUAUAGUACCUGUGAAGAUGCAGGUUACCCGCGACAGGACGGAAAGACCCCGUGGAGCUUUACUGUAGCCUGAUAUUGAAUUUUGGUACAGUUUGUACAGGAUAGGCGGGAGCCUUUGAAACCGGAGCGCUAGCUUCGGUGGAGGCGCUGGUGGGAUACCGCCCUGACUGUAUUGAAAUUCUAACCUACGGGUCUUAUCGACCCGGGAGACAGUGUCAGGUGGGCAGUUUGACUGGGGCGGUCGCCUCCUAAAGUGUAACGGAGGCGCCCAAAGGUUCCCUCAGAAUGGUUGGAAAUCAUUCGUAGAGUGCAAAGGCAUAAGGGAGCUUGACUGCGAGACCUACAAGUCGAGCAGGGACGAAAGUCGGGCUUAGUGAUCCGGUGGUUCCGCAUGGAAGGGCCAUCGCUCAACGGAUAAAAGCUACCCCGGGGAUAACAGGCUUAUCUCCCCCAAGAGUCCACAUCGACGGGGAGGUUUGGCACCUCGAUGUCGGCUCAUCGCAUCCUGGGGCUGUAGUCGGUCCC